AGAGUUUGAUCCUGGCUCAGGAUGAACGCUGGCGGCGUGCCUAAUACAUGCAAGUCGAGCGAACGGACGAGAAGCUUGCUUCUCUGAUGUUAGCGGCGGACGGGUGAGUAACACGUGGAUAACCUACCUAUAAGACUGGGAUAACUUCGGGAAACCGGAGCUAAUACCGGAUAAUAUUUUGAACCGCAUGGUUCAAAAGUGAAAGACGGUCUUGCUGUCACUUAUAGAUGGAUCCGCGCUGCAUUAGCUAGUUGGUAAGGUAACGGCUUACCAAGGCAACGAUGCAUAGCCGACCUGAGAGGGUGAUCGGCCACACUGGAACUGAGACACGGUCCAGACUCCUACGGGAGGCAGCAGUAGGGAAUCUUCCGCAAUGGGCGAAAGCCUGACGGAGCAACGCCGCGUGAGUGAUGAAGGUCUUCGGAUCGUAAAACUCUGUUAUUAGGGAAGAACAUAUGUGUAAGUAACUGUGCACAUCUUGACGGUACCUAAUCAGAAAGCCACGGCUAACUACGUGCCAGCAGCCGCGGUAAUACGUAGGUGGCAAGCGUUAUCCGGAAUUAUUGGGCGUAAAGCGCGCGUAGGCGGUUUUUUAAGUCUGAUGUGAAAGCCCACGGCUCAACCGUGGAGGGUCAUUGGAAACUGGAAAACUUGAGUGCAGAAGAGGAAAGUGGAAUUCCAUGUGUAGCGGUGAAAUGCGCAGAGAUAUGGAGGAACACCAGUGGCGAAGGCGACUUUCUGGUCUGUAACUGACGCUGAUGUGCGAAAGCGUGGGGAUCAAACAGGAUUAGAUACCCUGGUAGUCCACGCCGUAAACGAUGAGUGCUAAGUGUUAGGGGGUUUCCGCCCCUUAGUGCUGCAGCUAACGCAUUAAGCACUCCGCCUGGGGAGUACGACCGCAAGGUUGAAACUCAAAGGAAUUGACGGGGACCCGCACAAGCGGUGGAGCAUGUGGUUUAAUUCGAAGCAACGCGAAGAACCUUACCAAAUCUUGACAUCCUUUGACAACUCUAGAGAUAGAGCCUUCCUCUUCGGGGGACAAAGUGACAGGUGGUGCAUGGUUGUCGUCAGCUUGUGUCGUGAGAUGUUGGGUUAAGUCCCGCAACGAGCGCAACCCUUAAGCUUAGUUGCCAUCAUUAAGUUGGGCACUCUAAGUUGACUGCCGGUGACAAACCGGAGGAAGGUGGGGAUGACGUCAAAUCAUCAUGCCCCUUAUGAUUUGGGCUACACACGUGCUACAAUGGACAAUACAAAGGGCAGCGAAACCGCGAGGUCAAGCAAAUCCCAUAAAGUUGUUCUCAGUUCGGAUUGUAGUCUGCAACUCGACUACAUGAAGCUGGAAUCGCUAGUAAUCGUAGAUCAGCAUGCUACGGUGAAUACGUUCCCGGGUCUUGUACACACCGCCCGUCACACCACGAGAGUUUGUAACACCCGAAGCCGGUGGAGUAACCUUUUAGGAACUAGCCGUCGAAGGUGGGACAAAUGAUUGGGGUGAAGUCGUAACAAGGUAGCCGUAUCGGAAGGUGCGGCUGGAUCACCU
rnacentral:rRNA from 1 species